GAGUAAAUCUCAGUGACCACACUGUGGAAAAUACCUUUGCAGACGUGACACCCAAGUGCACACGCCGACCGCUGCGUGGGCUUUUCCGCUGGGAACGCCUGGGGUGAACGCGUGUUUUAUAGGCGUUUCCAGGAGCAUGGAUGCCCCUCCAGACAGGGAGCUGGCGGGCAGGGGUGGCAGCAGCCGCUCUAGCGUUGGGGAGACCAGCGGUCCUCAGCCAUGCUGGGAGAAAAGUAAAGGCACUCACCCCCACCUGCGCGCGCACGCGCGCACACACACACAUGCAAGGCAGGGUCGGUGGGAGAGAGGAGGACCUUUCUCCUUCUUCUGCAGCCUGGGUCUCCCACCGGCCUUCUCCUGCCCUGAGCAAGUCACCAGGUGCCAGGUAAAGGGCCACGCCUGGCCUGGCCCCCACUGGAUAGUGACCCACCUGGCCUUCCAGGGAUGCUAAGCGCAGCCCGUCCUUCCCGGACCAGCUCAGGCUCCCCUGCCCUCCUCUCUCCAGGAAGGAGCCAGACCACGCAUCCCACUGUCCCCAGGGUAACCCCAGGCCAAGCACAGACGGCUCAGCUGUGACCUCCGGCCUCUGGAGCAUAAACAGGGCGGCUGGGUCAGGGUGGAAGGUGCUCCUCUUUCCGCCUUUCUCCGUGGUCCCUUCCACGGGCUGGCCACCAUGUCGGGGGGCACAAUGCGGGGCCUCUAGCCACGCAACUGUCUCCAAGUUAACAGCCCCUGUCCUGCCCUAGCUCCGGGACAGGCAGGAGAGGGCCAUCACAGCCCCCCUCGUGGGUGAGUGACCCGGGAGGGGGCUUCCAGGCCGAGGAGAGCCACCACGCCCUUUCUCCGGGGGCCACUUAAAACAUCCACGCACGACCUGAGGCUGGCCCUCCGCACAGAAGCCAUACGCCGGCCAACUGCGCCGCCUUCUCUGUCCGCGGACACCGCUGCCAAUCUGACCUUUGUAAAGACCUGUCUGUGUCCCUGCCGCCUGUGGUUCCAGCAGGCUCUAUGCCGUCUGCACUGGGAUGUCUGGCUGUUUUUAUUUCUGAACUUUUUUAAAAUUCCAGGCGUGCCACACCCACUUUCUCACAGUGUUUGAAUAUUGUGUGGAGCUGUUGACACAACGUGAAUUCAUACACAAUAAAAAGCCUCACUUGCCCUUUG